UAGGGAAUCUUCCACAAUGGGUGCAAACCUGAUGGAGCAAUGCCGCGUGAAUGAAGAAGGUCUUCGGAUCGUAAAGUUCUGUUAUUAGAGAAGAACAAAUCGAGGAGUAACUGUCUCGAUUUUGACGGUACCUAACCAGAAAGUCACGGCUAACUACGUGCCAGCAGCCGCGGUAAUACGUAGGUGACAAGCGUUGUCCGGAAUUAUUGGGCGUAAAGGGAGCGCAGGCGGUUGAAAUAGUCUGAUGUGAAAGCCCACGGCUUAACCGUGGAAUGUCAUUGGAAACUGUUCAACUUGAAUGCAGAAGAGGUAAGUGGAAUUCCAUGUGUAGCGGUGAAAUGCGUAGAUAUAUGGAGGAACACCAGUGGCGAAGGCGACUUACUGGUCUGUGAUUGACGCUGAGGCUCGAAAGCGUGGGUAGCAAACAGG
rnacentral:rRNA from 1 species